UGGCUGUCUGGGUGGCCGGCGCGCAAGGGAGCACUUUCCCCUGAGUGCUUCCUCUUCCGCUCCCUCGCGCACCGCACUGAUACCGGCAUUCCUACGCGGCGCGCAAGGGAGCGGAAGAGGAAGCACACAGGGGAAAGUGCUCCCUCGCGCGCCGGCCGGCCAGCAAGACA